CACGUAGGGCGCAAGCGUUGUCCGGAAUUAUUGGGCGUAAAGAGCUCGUAGGUGGUUUGUUACGUCUGCUGUGAAAACCUAGGGCUUAACCCUGGGCUUGCAGUGGAUACGGGCUAGCUAGAGUGUGGUAGGGGGAGAUACGUCGAAUUCCUGGUGUAGGCGGUAGAAAUGCGCAGAUAUCAGGAGGAACACCGGUGGCGAAGGCGGAUCUCUGGGCCAUUACUGACGCUGAGGAGCGAAAGCGUGGGGAGCAAACAGG
rnacentral:rRNA from 1 species